rnacentral:rRNA from 1 species
CAACUUUCAACAAUGGAUCUCUUGGCUCUGGCAUCGAUGAAGAACGCAGCGAAAUGCGAUAAGUAGUGUGAAUUGCAGAAUUCAGUGAAUCAUCGAAUCUUUGAACGCACAUUGCGCCCCAUGGUAUUCCGUGGGGCAUGCCUGUUCGAGCGUCAU